CCACCAGCGUGCGUCAUUAUUAAGGAUGGUGGUUUGACCAAUUAACUUCAGUUGACAAUAUGCUAUACUUCUCUGUUGUACAAUGUGUGGAAAUACCAGGACGGGGAGUGACGAGGGGUUAGUAUACCAUCCACUCAUAUAAAAUAAGUAGCAAUGUAUAGCUUGCAGGAUUCGCAUUUGUCGAAAAUCACGUUUCAGCCGAAAGGGCAAUAAUCAAUUAAUUAUGUCACUUUGGCUACAUUAUUGGCAAGUGUAAGUACUGCAUGGUUACAUCACUAUAUAUGAGUAUCAGAUCUGUGUAUAAUUAUAUCAAUCCCAUCCAUAUUACACACUAGUAGUUUGAAUAUAAAAUAUACAUGUAAUAAUUAUACUCAACUUGUCAUGAGUUCAUGUCACUGGUUCUUCUGUCCCUCAUGCAGACACCAUCCAAACAAUGUCAGGUAUAUGUGCAUGGGCGGCUUCCCUGCUACGGUGAGCAAAUGAGACAUUAGGGAAGGCCCUCCAUUGUUUUGUAGCAACUAGCGUGAGUCAUUACUAAGGAUGGUGGUUCGACCAAUUAACUUAAUAAUGUGCUAUACUUUUCUGUUGUACUGUGUAAAGAAAUGCCAGGACGACAGGGAGUGACAAGAGGAUACGCCUUCGUCACAUUUGUUGACAAAUAUCAGCCGAAAGGGCAAUAGCAGCCACGGACAAAACGAAAACUUGGCCUGUUAGACGGACAAUCUGAGUUUCCGUUGAAAAUGAAGAUAACGGGGGCUUAACGGAGUUAAACGGUGUGUCUGAUAGGACGGCACCCGUGAGUAACACCGUUUCAUCAACACCAAUCUAACGGUUUCCGUUGGUAUGAACCGUCCAAUCUAGAUGUGUGAAACGGGAAGGAACGGAUGUGCCGUAUAGUAUUAGCUAGCUAGAUCUACUUCUUGAUAUGAUUAUUGUGUUCGUAGUGUGCAUUAAUUUUCUGAAGAGUUUAGUUUUUAAUGGACAAAAUGUAAGA